UACGGAGGAUCCAAGCGUUAUCCGGAAUCAUUGGGUUUAAAGGGUCCGUAGGCGGGAUAGUAAGUCAGUGGUGAAAGUCUGCAGCUCAACUGUAGAACUGCCAUUGAAACUGUUGUCCUUGAGUAAUUAUGAAGUGGUUGGAAUAUGUAGUGUAGCGGUGAAAUGCAUAGAUAUUACAUAGAACACCGAUUGCGAAGGCAGAUCACUAAUAAUUCACUGACGCUGAUGGACGAAAGCGUAGGUAGCGAAC
rnacentral:rRNA from 1 species